AGUGGGAUAACUGGGUCAAAUGGUGGUUUCAUUCCUAGCUUUUUGAGGAAUCUCCAUUCUGCUUUCCAGAGUGAUUGCACCAAUUUGCAUUCCCACCAACAAU
rnacentral:pre_miRNA from 1 species